UCUCCGUUGGCGAACCAGCGGAGGGAUCAUUACAGGAUCGAAAGACUCCUAUAACCCCUGUGAACUUACUACAAAUACGUUGCUUCGGCGGGUGCCCCGGGUCUCCCGGGGCGUUCAGCCCGCCGGCAGCCUUCAAAUUCUGUUUCUUUGCGUUGGCAUCUCGAGUAUACAAAAAUAAGUUAAAACUUUCAACAACGGAUCUCUUGGUUCUG
rnacentral:misc_RNA from 1 species